UUGUCAAGGAAGCAUUAAUGGAGGAGCAGAAACGAAGUGAAAAGGCAAUUGAAGAAGCAGUGAAAAGGACAAGAGAGGAACUGAUGGAAUAUAUUAAAGAACAGAAAAGGCUUGAUCAAGUUGUCCGUCAGAGAAAUCUGCAUAGUUUGGAACUUUUCCUUUCAUGUGCACAGAAACAGUUAAACGUUUUAUUAAAGGAAGAGCCAACCACAGAAGAAAACAGAGACUGACAUUCCCAGUACCACUGACACAGUGUGAUCUGUGAAGCUGCAAAUCUCAAUUCAGCAAGUGAUGAAUAUAUUCUAAUCUUUUGGGAUUGUAUUAUUGAUUCAAGGUUGAUCUGAAACUAUGCUUGAUAGAAAUGUGUGGAUGAUGUUCUGUUAUUUAUUUAUUUGUUUUACUGCUUUUAUCAGAUUGCAAAUAUGGAAGGGGAAAAAAUCCAUGAGAAAAAAAAAUUGGGUUUUUUAUGAUGUUGUUUUCAUUACAUUUUCUAGUAACCCAUGGUUGAAGUGUUAGGUAACUUGUAGCACUGAUGAAAAAAUUUCCCUGUUAUGUCUGUUUUAAAUUUGGCAUCAUGUGUUGAUGUGAUUCAUCGUUAUUUUUGAUAUUUUAAAAAAUUGAGACAAACUUACUUGAAUAUUGAUAUAAAUCCAUCUCUAUUUCCACAGUAUAUACCCAAGUCCAUUGCCUCAGGUGAGCCUGAGGAGCUUAUUAUUUCUUACUAUUUUUGAUGUAUAACAGAGGAAUCAAUGCUGAAACAUAAGAGUGUUGUCAGGCAUUUCUUUAAUCAUUUAUAAAGAACUUCAGCUCUGGUAAUAGAAAAAUUUAAAAACUAAACAGUGCAUCUUUUUAGAGUAGUGCAAAACACUACCAUAGCCAAUGUAUAGUAUGUAUUUUAUUUCUGUUUUACAGAGCUACUUCAAUUCCAAAAGUAAUUUUCUCAUGAAAUUACGAUUAAUGUGACUGACCUCAGUUUCAGGAAGAAGAUGUAUGUAAUUAUGUGGAGACUGAUACUGCACUGCCUCAGUGGAAUUUCUGACAGAAUAAGGAGAGCAGCUUGCUGACCUCAGAUGCCCUUUCUGAGUGCAAGAAGGAAGUAGGAAAGCUCCCCACAGACAUUACUGGACUUUGGAUCAAGUCAUAGGUCUUUCUAGUCUUGCUAACAGCAGAUGGAGUGGAAUUUCUGUGCCUGCACUCCAUUGAUUGUAGACUUGGGGCCUUAGUUUUAAAAGAGUGCUGAAUGAAAUAAGGGAAAAUAAGUGUUCACGCUUAGGUAUGUAAAUAAACUAAGAGUGAUCUCUC